AGGUCGCCAACAUGGCGUGCUCACGGACGGUAGGUGUACUCCGUCUUUUCCUAAUUGUUCGUAAGCAUAUGUUUGUUCUCAAAGUAAAGAUGACGGAGAAUUUUAUGCUCGGGUAGAAGUAAGGGGGGUAAGAGAUUGGUACACAAUAACGUAAACGUGCUUCUACCUAGUACCCUAAAUGACGACAUGGCUCCGCUAGCUACUCGGGGCACUCUGCUAAUUACUUCCGCAACUUGAAUGUACCGUAUGCAUGGGAUAGAAUAGAACCAUACCACGCAGCAUUUUAUGUUAACCACUACUGGGGCGCUUGGAUUUUGACGUACAAAUGUAAACAUAAUACGGCCUAAUGGCUUACUUCGGAUUUCAUAAUAGGAGGUAUUUUCUUUUUUUUCUUGGUAGCAUUUUGUAUAGCCUGUGUUUACACGCUGGCUGGGGUUAAUGGCCCCUCCAGGAGAUUGUAUGUAGGAUCGGCCGCUCGGAGUGCGAUUUUAGUCGCUAGCAUUAUGUAAUGAUCAUCUUAAUUACGAGACUGUACUAUCACUAUUGUGAUAUACCGAGCGCUGGGCAUGCUGCGAAAGGCUGCUAACCGCAAAUAACACAUCUUAAUAUAACAAAAUACUUCUAAUAACUGUACAUGUACGGCACAUACAUUAUUUAAAAGUCAAAUCGUAUAUUGCCAGUGUUUGUAAUGCGUUCCAAAUUGUUCCAUUAAUGAUUAACCCUUGCUAUUUUCAACCCUCAGAUGAACUGCUGCAUUCCAACACGGUACUGUUUGGCCUUCCUUCUUAUGGGUGUUGUUAUUCACCUUUUUACCCUAAGGUCAAACUUUAGCAUCAUCGUCGUUGCUAUGGUGAAACAUUCUGCCAAUAAUGAAGGCAACAGCUCGAGGGAGAACGAGUGUUAUGAUGUAAACAUAACGCAGGAUGUUAGUUAUUCAACACACGAAAAUAUCACGACAGAUCUGUUAGCCUUGAACGACAAGACAGGAGUAUUGUUGCAAGUGAACCGGACAGAACAUAACAGUCAGGACAAGUUUUCCUGGGACCCCGUUACCCAAGGUCGCAUCAUUGGCGCUUAUUCCUACGGCAAUGUCUUUAGUCAAGUGAUGGGAGGGUUCCUGGAGGCCAGGUUUGGUGGGAAGAAAGUUCUCGGCCUGAGCAUCCUGCUCUCCUCCGUUCUGACUCUGCUGACACCCGCGGCUGCUGUAGCUGGAGAAUGGUGGCUGUUUGUAGUUCGGGUGGUGGUCGGAUUUGUGCAGGGUGUCGUGUACCCAAGUGCGUUUGGCAUCUUAUCGAAAUGGUCCCUUCCGUCGGAAAGAAGUCGCCUUAUCACUAUCGUCUUUCUAGGUGAGACACUGGGUGUCAUCGUGGGUUUCUCAUUGACAGCACGUCUCAUCACACAGUUUGGGUGGGCUGUUACCCUGUACAUAACAGGGGUAACUGGACUAGUGUUCUGUUGCAUCUGGUGUUCACUGGCGUUUGACUCACCUGCAGUUCAUCCUAGAAUUUCUGAAGCAGAAAGGACGUAUAUUGAGACCAAUUUAGAGAAAACGAAAACGGACAAGCAGAUUCCGUGGCUAAAAUUGUUUUUGUCACCUCACCUCUGGGUACUGAUGUAUAUCCACUGUACUGAAUGCUGGUGAUUUUUCCUGCUGCUGACCAGUUUACCAUUGUACAUGGAUACAAUACUCAACUUCAACAUUGAUGCGAAUGGAGCUUUGUCUUCCUUGCCAUACCUGACACAGAUGGCAUCAAGGAUCUUAUCUAGUCUCAUUAUUGAUACUGUCAUAAAGCGAUCAGAUUUUAAGAAAGCCAACAUUCGAAAGACGUGCACGUUAGCUUUGGUUGGGGUUGCCGCCUGCCUUGCUGGUGUUGGUCACGUGAGAUGUGACUCCACAGCAGCCAUCGCCAUGUUGUGUCUGGCCACGGUCAUGUCAGGCGUGAUGAUCCCUGGCUUUUUUCCAUGCUUCACCGAACUCACGUUGGCUUUUUCUGGAGUAGCGUUCGGAAUCAGCAACACCGUGGCCAACUGUGCAGGAUUCAUUGUCCCUAUGGUUGUAGGAAUUCUCACAGACGAAAACCAAACAAUAGAAGCCUGGCAGAAAGUCUUCUACAUCGGCGCCGCCAUUUCCGUUUCCGGUUCCGUCAUGGCCCUUCUGUUCCUCCGGACUGAUCCGGUUUCCUGGGCGCAGUACCCGGAUGAGGCGCAGGACCCGGAUGAAGACAAACUGCCGCAGCCAGCACGGGAUAAGUUAAUUCCUGACUUUUAUAAUGGCGAGGAAGAAGGCUCUUGGCCAGAGCUUGUCUACGAGACAACAGUGUGAAGUAAAACUAUAUUUAUUGAUAAUAUGCAGUUAUUAGGUGUUGUCAUUAAUACGUUCUGCCGCCAUAAUGGUGACCUACUAAUUCUGUUUCGAUGAUUUUUAUCAAAUGCAUGUAUAAUAUAUGUAUCCUGCUUGCUUUAUUUGUAUUACAUGACUUUCAUUUCACGUAACUGUUAAUUGCCUUGAGUAUACGGAAUUCACGACAUUUACCACUAUUGAGGCUAUUCUCUCAUUAUUUAUGCAAAUUUGAUGAUGAUUUAUUUUAUCAUUUCACACAAAGUUUUUUUUGUUUCAUAGCGCACGCAAACACAUGCACUGAAUUGCACUGGAAAAUAAAAUCAGAUCGACAACCUUACUACAUAGCAUCUUUUAUCUACAUACUGCUAUUUAAAAUGAACUAUGCUUAUUAAGAUAUUGUCUAUAUUAAACUCUGUACAGCAUAAUCAUUCUUUUACAGUUACACAUUUAUAUCAAUGGUUGUGAGAAUAAAAGUAACUUGUUUUAAAAUUCAA